rnacentral:lncRNA from 1 species
GUGACUCUUGACUGGGAUCCUCAGAUCACGACUUUACCCUUGAUCUGCUGGACUGCCUUCUACAGAGAAAGCCAGCUGACAUGGAGAAUGCUCUGGAAGCCCUAGGGAAGCGGACAGCAGCCUGGCAGUCACUUGAGAAACAGCCUUCUCUCUGUGGUGACACCUUCAGAAAACUACACUCUCGUACAGAGGAAAAUGACAUCAGUCUUGAUGCUCUGUCCAGCAACUCAAUCGACGCCCAGUCAUCUCUCUGUGUGAUCCAACCAAACACUCCUUCAAAGCCUCAGUAACGCUCUGCUUGACUAGUUGUUCAGUUCAGUGUCAGCGUUCUCUUUUUGAGGGGCCCAACGGCUGCAGCGAACCACCUGUGACUGGAUUCUCCACUGAGCUAUGUCAGGUCUCCUCCCUAGACACAGAACUUUCUCACAGUACCCUCCUCGGGCUGAAGUCCUGCUCCUCUCUCUUUGUACGACAUGGGUCCACUAUCUGGUUCCCACAUUCUUCUCCACCAUCACCCACCAGAAUGGAAAAUUGCAUCAUUGAAAACAGAGACUCAUACUCCAGGCUGGCCUUUAACUUCCUAAGUGCUGGAGAUGGCCUGGACCCUCUGAUCCUCCUGUUCCUAAGUGCUGGGACUGCAGGCUUGCACCACCACGUUUGGUCUAUGAAGUGCUGAGGUUUAAAAUGGAGUCAAGCACCGAGCUACAUCCUCAGCCUCAGGCGUGCAGGGCAGGGGGGUGAGGGUGGGAUGGGGAAGCCAGGUGGUUUUAAGUAAAAUGUAUACAAAGUU